rnacentral:rRNA from 1 species
AACGAACGCUGGCGGCAUGCCUAACACAUGCAAGUCGAACGAGACCAUCGGGUUUAGUGGCGCAUGGGGGCGUAACCGGUGGGAACCUGCCCAUAGGUUUGGCAUAACUCCCCGAAUGGGGUGCUAAUACGGGAUCAUAUCUUGGGUCCGAAGGUUGAUCGCGAUUGGGUGGGCGGGCGUUGGAUUAGCUGGUUGUUAGGGUAAAAGCCUAUCAAGGGGACGAUCCAUAGCUGGUUAGAGAGGCAGAUCACCGACACUGGGAGUGAGACACGGCCGGGAAUCCUACGGGAAGCACGAGUGGGGGAUAUUGGAAAGUGGGGGGAAGGAUGAAGCUCCAAUGACGGGAGAGUGAUGAAAGUCUGAGGGAAGUAAAGUUCUUUUACCCGUGAUGGUAAUGACGGUACCGAGAGAAUAAGCACCGGCUAACUCCGUG